AGUGAACGCUGGCGGCAGGCCUAACACAUGCAAGUCGAACGAGACCUUCGGGUCUAGUGGCGGACGGGUGGGUAACACGUGGGAACGUGCCUUUAGGUUCGGAAUAACUCAGGGAAACUUGGAGUAAUACCGUAUAAGCCCGCAAGGGGAAAGAUUUAUCGCCAUCAGAUGAGCCCGCGUUGGAUUAGCUAGUUGGUGGGGUAACGGCCCACCAAGGCGACGAUCCAUAGCUGGUCUGAGAGGAUGACCAGCCACACUGGGACUGAGACACGGCCCAGACUCCUACGGGAGGCAGCAGUGGGGAAUCUUGGACAAUGGGCGAAAGCCUGAUCCAGCCAUGCCGCGUGAGUGACGAAGGUCUUCGGAUUGUAAAGCUCUUUUGGCGGGGACGAUAAUGACGGUACCCGCAGAAUAAGCCCCGGCUAACUUCGUGCCAGCCGCCGCCGUAA
rnacentral:rRNA from 1 species